UACGUAGGGUGCGAGCGUUAAUCGGAAUUACUGGGCGUAAAGCGUGCGCAGGCGGUUCGCUAAGACCGACGUGAAAUCCCCGGGCUCAACCUGGGAACUGCAUUGGUGACUGGCGGGCUAGAGUAUGGCAGAGGGGGGUAGAAUUCCACGUGUAGCAGUGAAAUGCGUAGAGAUGUGGAGGAAUACCGAUGGCGAAGGCAGCCCCCUGGGCCAAUACUGACGCUCAUGCACGAAAGCGUGGGGAGCAAACGGG
rnacentral:rRNA from 1 species